rnacentral:rRNA from 1 species
AACGAACGCUGGCGGCAUGCCUAACACAUGCAAGUCGAACGAGACCUUCGGGUCUAGUGGCGCACGGGUGCGUCACGCGUGGGAACCUGCCCUUAGGUUCGGAAUAACUCUCCGAAAGGGGUGCUAAUACCGGACAAUGUCUUCGGACCAAAGAUUUAUCGCCUUUGGAUGGGCCCGCGUUGGAUUAGCUUGUUGGUAGGGUAAAAGCCUACCAAGGCGACGAUCCAUAGCUGGGCAGAGAGGAUGAUCAGCCACCCUGGGACUGAGACACGGCCCAGAAUCCUACGGGAGGCGGCAGUGGGGAAUAUAGGACAAUGGGCGAAAGGAUGAUGCAGCAAUGACGCGUGAGUGAUGAAGGCAUUAGGGUUGUAAAGCUCUUUUAACCGGGAUGAUAAUGACAGUACCGGGAGAAUAAGCGCCGGCUAACUCCGUG